GGCUGUCGUCAGCUCGUGUCGUGAGAUGUUGGGUUAAGUCCCGCAACGAGCGCAACCCACGUCUUUAGUUGCCAGCAUUUAGUUGGGCACUCUAGAGAGACCGCCGGUGAUAAACCGGAGGAAGGUGUGGAUGACGUCAAGUCAUCAUGCCCCUUACAUCCUGGGCUACACACGUACUACAAUGCUACGGACAAAGGGCGGCAAACUCGCGAGAGCUAGCAAAUCCCAUAAACCGUGGCUCAGUUCAGAUCGUAGGCUGCAACUCGCCUACGUGAAGGAGGAAUCGCUAGUAAUCGCGGGUCAGCAUACUGCGGUGAAUACGUUCCCGGGCCUUGUACACACCGCCCGUCACACCAUGGAAGUUGGCCACGCCCGAAGUCGUUACUCCAACCCUUGUGGAGGAGGAUGCCGAAGGUGGGGCUGAUGACUGGGGUGAAGUCGUAACAAGGUAGCCGUACCGGAAGGUGCGGCUGGAUCACCUCCUAA
rnacentral:rRNA from 1 species